AAUACUGCAGCUAUUUUCCUUGACCAUCCAGAACUUUCCAAAACCCCACAAAGGAAGAUUCUCCUCAUUUCUCCAUGAAGAUCACUUACAAAAGCCAAAAUCUUGGGUCAAUCUUACAAGCCAGUAAGAUAAGAUGCUGUUUAGAGGACCCUUACUCGAAAGCAUCUUCCGAUUCCAUAUCUGCAGACCCCAGGAAUUAUCGAUGAUACCUCAUGAUAGAGUUCUUUCCACAGGUUUCAGCUCUCAUUUGUACAAGCAAAAGGUAUAAAUUCCUGAUAAAGCUGUGGCUUACAGCAUGCUUAUUUUACCUCCUUAUUUUACAUCUCCUGAGUGCCAAACAAGAUAUUCAGCCCCACAAGAAGAGAGCCACAAGAGAAACGGCUUUUCAAGCACUUCCCACCUUCAGCCUUCCUCCCCUAAAAUGGCUUCAACUUCUCCAAAUAACACUGAAUAUGUGCCAGCAGCAUCUCUUCAUAUUACACUUCAUGCAAAAACUGAACCAUGAUCCUUCACUGAUUCCAGCUUUCUAAUCAUUUUUAAAGAGUAUUAAACAUUAAGCAACCAUAUCUGAGGAAGCUACUCCUCUAACUCUAGAAGAGGAAAUACACCGAGCAUUUUCUUAACCUUUAAAACAUGUCAGGGGCAUAAAUCAAAAUACACCAAAUUGCCUCCCAGUGAAAAGCACACUUCUCUAACACAAAUACCUUGGCAAUUCUGUAGGCAAGAGGUCAUUUUCUUCAAGAAAUGUUCAGAAUGGGUAUAUUUUCUUUAAAGCAUUUUAUGACAAAAAAGAAGAAAAAAACUUGUACUUCAUGCUGAGUGGCUGACAAGUCAAGGUCUGAGAAAAACAAAAUAAAAACGAAACCAGGAAAAGGUCAUUUUAGAGAAUCCCAACAAGGGCUGCUGAACUGUUACAGAAUAAGAGUAGCAAUGUACUGCCAGCAGCAUUUGGACAUUAAACAUUGCUCUUAGAAAGUAGUUAAAUUUUCUUUUUCAUCUCCUGAACUUUUAGGCACUUUUGACAGAAACACUGUUCAUACAUGUGAAGACCAUCUGUGUCUGAACACACACUGGAUGAGAUCCUCAUUUAGACCAAAUAAUUCCUCUUCCUAAAGUGAUUUCUUUAGAAUCAUAGGUCACAGAUGAAAAUCAAGAUAACCAUGCACUGGUCCAAUGGCUUCAAUUUUUAGAUAAAGAAAUUGAAGGGUGAAAAGAUUUGUCCCUGGUCAUGUUCUUAGGCAGUCAAGAACCCCAAAGAAGGACCUAGACCUCUGAGACUCAGUGUGAUGGUCUUUUUACCAUUACCACUUGAACUGCAAUUUUUAAAACAUUAUACUCAAACAUCAGGGCAACCUCAUUCUGUUUCUGAAACACAAUAUGCCUACCUAAUUUCCCACCUUUCUUUCUUUUAAACUCCUCCCACCAUUUUUUUCUCAUUUAGAAAGUGAUCCAUAAAAUUUUCUCUGCUCUCUUGCCAUCCAGUGAUUCUUGGAUAUAUAUUUGCUCAAUUUAACUUAAAACAUGAAGGAGCAAAGAAAAAUAAAAUUACCUCUGCACAAAAACAACCAUCUAAACUAAGAGGAAAAAGGGUAAGAAUGACGGAAAAUAAAAUGAAUAUAUUCAGCUACUUUUGCUGCAAUAAAACAUCAUAUAAGCCAAAUGGCAGCUUGUCCGUGGCAGGUUUAUUAUAAAGACACAAUCUCAUCCCAAAGAACUUUAAGAUUCAGAGGUGGAGCAGAGAUCUUCUGCCUCAAUAAAAGACAGUU